AUUGAACGCUGGCGGCAGGCCUAACACAUGCAAGUCGAGCGAGCGGCGGACGGGUGAGUAAUGUAUGGGGACUGCCCGAUAGAGGGGGAUAACUACUGGAAACGGUAGCUAAUACCGCAUACUAUCGGAUAACCCAUAUGGGAUUAGCUAGUCGGUGAGGUAAUGGCUCACCUAGGCGACGAUGCCUAGCUGGUCUGAGAGGAUGAUCAGCCAGACAGGGACUGAGACACGGCCCAGAUUACUGCGGAGGCAGCAGUGGGGAAUAUAGCACAAUGGGCGCAAGCCUGAUGCAGCCAUGCCGCGUGUAUGAAGAAGGGCCUAGGGUUGUAAAGUACAUUCAGGCGGGAAGCGUUACCGACAGAAGAAGCACCGGCUAACUCCGUGCCAGCAGCCGCGGUAAUUC
rnacentral:rRNA from 1 species